rnacentral:rRNA from 1 species
UACAGAGGGUGCAAGCGUUAAUCGGAGUUACUGGGCGUAAAGGGCGCGUAGGUGGUUGUAUAAGUUGGAUGUGAAAGCCCUUGGCUCAACUGAGGAAGUGCACCCGAAACUGAGUGGCUUGAGUACUAAAGAGGGUCGCGGAAUUCCCGGUGUAGAGGUGAAAUUCGUAGAUAUCGGGAGGAACACCGGUGGCGAAGGCGGCGACCUGGGUAGAUACUGACGCUGAGGCGCGAAAGCGUGGGGAGCAAACAGG